CCCUGUUCUCGGGGCGGGGUGCAAUUCCCCACCGGCGGUAAGCGGGUUUUCCCGCAAGCCCGCGAGCGCCUUUCGCCAGAAAGGGUCAGCAGAUCAGGUGCGAUUCCUGGGCCGACGGUCAUAGUCCGGAUGAAAGAGAGCAGAC
rnacentral:ncRNA from 2 species